rnacentral:rRNA from 1 species
AGAGUUUGAUCAUGGCUCAGGACGAACGCUGGCGGCGUGCUUAACACAUGCAAGUCGAGCGGAAAGGCCCUUUCGGGGGUACUCGAGCGGCGAACGGGUGAGUAACACGUGAGUAAUCUGCCCCUCACUCUGGGAUAACUGCCUGAAAGGGUGGCUAAUACCGGAUAUUCUCCAGCUGCUGCAUGGUGGUUGGUGGGAAGAUUUUUUGGUGGGGGAUGUGCUCGCGGCCUAUCAGCUUGUUGGUGGGGUAAUGGCCUACCAAGGCUUCGACGGGUAGCCGGCCUGAGAGGGUGACCGGCCACACUGGGACUGAGACACGGCCCAGACUCCUACGGGAGGCAGCAGUGGGGAAUAUUGGACAAUGGGCGGAAGCCUGAUCCAGCAACGCCGCGUGAGGGAUGACGGCCUUCGGGUUGUAAACCUCUUUCAGCACAGACGAAGCGCCCUGUCGGGUGGUGACGGUAUGUGCAGAAGAAGCACCGGCCAACUACGUGCCAGCAGCCGCGGUA